UACGUAGGGGGCAAGCGUUGUCCGGAAUCAUUGGGCGUAAAGAGCGUGUAGGCGGCCCGAUAAGUCCGCUGUGAAAGUCCAGGGCUCAACCCUGGGAUGCCGGUGGAUACUGUCGGGCUCGAGUCCGGAAGAGGAGUGUGGAAUUCCUGGUGUAGCAGUGAAAUGCGUAGAUAUCAGGAGGAACACCGAUGGCGAAGGCAGGUCUCUGGGCUGACACUGACGCUCAUGCACGAAAGCGUGGGGAGCAAACAGG
rnacentral:rRNA from 1 species